AAAAAAACCCACUUAGGGUAAAAGGGCCCAAAUACUUUUUGGGAAAAAAAAAAGGACCGGCUAUUAUAAGAGGAGUGGGGGAAAAAUUAGAGGGGGAGACCAGAUGGCAACAGGGAGAGGAAGGAAAAAAGGGAAUUGCGGAAGAGAAAAAGGGGGGGGGGGAACGUUCUUUCACGUUCUUCCUGGCUUUGCAAGGGAGGAAAUAGGAGAGGGAGAGAGGAGAGCUUCUUCUUCGAAGGCAAGAGGGGAAUCAAAUCAUUGAUCUCGCAGAAACCCUAAUUUGUUUCAUUUUCUGUGGUUGAUCGGAACUCAGAAGUGCUAUAGAAACAGUCAAAGCUAAUCCUCCAUGACCAAAAGCUCCUUCAAGCUCAAACACCCACUCGGCUGUGGAUGGAAGUAUCGUGCUAAAAAUAUGGAAUUUAUAUAAUGGAUGGAAUGAGAACUUUUGAACGGGUAACGAGGAGGUUAGAUGCAGCCAUAAAGCUUACGAAAAAUUAUUAUGCGACUUGGACCUUGAAUUAUGCUAUGUACAUAUUCCAAAGGCGGGAUAUAUUCGAGAUACAGGUAUUUGAUGACGUCACGUGUCGAUCUUGGACGUACGUCGGGAUCGGGGCGUGACAGUAUAACUACGGAAUACUGUUGUUGGAGAUGUUAACUGGCAAGAGGCCGACAUAUGACAUGUUUAAUAGUGGUGUAGACCUACAUAAUUUUGUUAUGAUGGCGCUACCAGAAUGUGCGGGAGAAAUAUGUGAUCCACUACUUGUUCAAAUAGAAGAAAGCCUCAACAGUACUAAUCCCAUAAGUAAUAGGGGGAAUCAUGCCUCAAAUGAUCGAAGAAAAAGGGUUGUAGAGUGCUUGACUUCCAUUGCAAGAGUAGGAGUUGCUUGUUCUGUAGCGAUGCCGAGAGAGCGAAAAGACAUGAGCAAUGUGGUAGCUGAAUUGAGUCUAAUAAGGGAUGUGCUAACUGGAACUAGGAUGCCUAGAGAGUAUCCGUGAUGACGAUCCAAGUAGUGAGUAAUAAUACCCUAUUAUCGUUAAAUAAAAUCCCAUGACUGUGCUGGAACUUUGCAUGGUGAUCUUCUGAAUGAUGACGAGGAGGACUGGAUCAAGUGAAGUGGAUUUUCCUGUUUUUGUCACUUUGUUUGUUUUGUGAAUGAUCUUAAUUUGUAAGAUCAUCUUUAUGUUUUGUUGGAAAUUUGGAAUUUGUCAAUUUAAGGUUGGUUCAUGUUCUUAUAA